UGCAGCAACAACCUUGCACUCAAUGUCAGUAAGACAAAAGAGAUGAUUGUGGAUUUUAGGAAGGGUGCGAUACCAAUCCACAUAGAGGGAUCAGAAGUGGAGUGGAUAAGCAGUUUCAAGUUCCUGGGUGUCAAGAUCUUUGAAGAUCUAACCUGGUCGCAACAUAUCAAUACAGUUAUUAUGUAGGCAAGACAGUGACUAUACUUCAUUAGGAGUUUGAAGAGAUUUGGUAUGUCAACAAAUACACUCAAAAACUUCUAUAAAUGUACUGUGGAGAGUAUUCUGACAGGCUGCAUCACUGUCUGGUAUGGAGGGGCUUCUGCACAGGACUGAAAAAAGCUGCAAAAAUUUAGUAGGCUCCAUCUUGGGUACUAGCCUACAAAGUACCCAGGACAUCUUUAUGGAGCGGUGUCUCAGAAAGGCACCAUCUAUUAUUAAGAACCUCCAGCACCCAGGGCAUUCCCUUUUCUCACUGUUACCAUCAGGUAGGAGGUACAGAAGCCUGAAGGCACACACUCAGCAAUUUAGGAACAGCUUCUUUCUCUCUGCCAUCGGAUUCUUAAAUAGACAUUGAAUCCUUGAGCACUACCUCAUUUUUGUAAUAUAUAUUAUUUCUGUUUUUUGCAUGAUUUUUAAUCUAUUUAAUUUACAUAUACUGUAAUUGGUUUGCUUAUCUAUUAUUAUUUUAUUUUGUUUUUUUCUUCUAUAUAAUGUAUUGCAUUGAACUGCUGCUGCUGUUAACAAAUUUCAUGACACCUGCUGGUGAUAAUAAAACCUGAUUCUGAUCCAAGAACCUGAACCCUUCCACCCCCCACCCCCCCACUCUGCACCAGCUUCUCAGCCAUGCACUUAUCUGCCAAAUCAUCCUGUUUCUACCCUCACUGGAGUGUGGCCCAGGUAGCAAUCCAGGAGUUAUUACCCUGGAAGUCCUGCUUCUCAGCACUCUGCCUAGCUCUCUAAAUGCUUUCUUCAGGACCCAACGUUUGUCAUCGCAAAACAUCUUGGUGCCAAGAAGGUUGAGUCUAAUUUGAUGGAGAUAAACACCCCUUGCAUUGCUCUUUCUGGUCCUAUUACAAUAUUAGUACAACAUUUCAAAGCCACAACACUGUUAGGAAUAUCAAAAAUCUAGUUCCUGAGAAGGGCAUGAGCAUCUGCUACUCCACAGGUAUAACCUUCAUGCAGUCAGUGUUGCUCUCUGUUCUACCUGUGAAUAUUGCCCAUGAAGACAUUAUGUGGUAUUUUAUCUGCUUUAAUCAAGGAGUUACUUUACCCAUGUGGUACCACUCUUUUUUUUGUAACACAUCAUCCCCUUUCUCAUUAACUGGAUAAUGGCCAAUACCAAAGCAUUAAAUCUAUAUACCUAUUUGACUUCCAGAUAUCAACAACCUGCUUAAGGGAUUGAUUUAUUUAUUUUUCAAAAACUCUCUUGUAAGACAGCAUUAUAUUUCUCUGAAUCUUUGCUUAUUUGGCCGAGUGUUGAACACUGAUACAGCUGGAAUUUCAGCCACAAAAAGCUGGAGGAACUCAGAAUGCCAGGCAGCAUCUAUGCAAAUGAAUUAAGCUGGAGUUUAUUGUCCAGAGUAAUUUUUCCAAUGUGACUUUAUGGUAGAAUAGUUUUUGCCUCAGAUGUGUUUCUUAAUGUACUAUGCAAGAGCUGCUUCAGUUACAGCAUAUGGCAUUUUUCACUGAGUCCUUGUUCUUUUCCCCUCUGAACAGCUUUUCUUUAGUGGAAGUGUGAUGAUGCCCAGAGUGGAGAUUGGAAGAUCAGCUAGCGUUCCUGCUUCUGAUUGACACCUAACAACAAGCUCUGUCAAAACAAAUUUCACCUGCAAAUGGAGAAAUGAACGGGUAAAUAAUGGAUGCCAGACAGUAUCUAUAUGGUCAGAUUGCAGGAAAGUCCUAAAUUCAAGCAGGAGCUUCCUCUCAACCAAACAGAAACAUAAACCAGCUCAAGUAUCGAGGACUGGCUCUGCAGCUAUUGAUACAGCGCUGAACUGACCAACGCGGCGGCUGCGGCUGCGGCUUGUGGCCAUCAGCUUCUGGGCCGGCUUCCCUCGCCUCGGUGGCUCGUGGACAUUGACUCACUUCUGGGGACUCUACAGUUUGAUGUUUAAUGCUCCCGUGAGUUAUUUGCUCAUAUUUGUUGUUUGCAAGAUUUGUUCAUUUUGUCGUGUGCUGGGUGUUUGAUGGUCUUUGUUGUGUGGGGAUUUUCUUUGAGAGGGUUCGAUGGUGUUUGUUUGUGGCUGCCUGUGUGGAAGAGGAAUCUCAGGGUCUUAUAAUGUAUACAUACUUCGAUAAAUGUGCAUUGAAA